rnacentral:rRNA from 1 species
UCUGGCGGCAGUAGCGCGGUGGUCCCACCUGACCCCAUGCCGAACUCAGAAGUGAAACGCCGUAGCGCCGACAUCAAAUAAAACAAAAGGCUCAGUCGGAA